CAACUGUGACAGAAGCAGCUGUUUUACCAAAGGAAUCUCUCUUCAAGUAUCGCGAAGAUGACAUCUGUGUGCUGUGGCAUUGCAAAGAGGAGAAGAGGAGGAAAUGGAGAUGAUAUGGAUCCAUGUUUAUAAAACAGCUUGGGUGAAUCCUGUUGUAAACCCAUUCAUGUCAAUGGAGGUCUUUCAGUUAAUCAGCAGAACUACUUUUGAGUCCCUUAGAUGAAGAAAAAGCUGCCUGAGCAACACCAAGACCAUAUAAUAGGGGCAGUGAAGAGCUAAACAGGCCAGAGGUAGGUAAAAAUAAACAAAAGUAUUUGUCUUUUGGGGGAGAAUUUUUUUUGACGGAUUCAAGUAGGGGAGCAAGGAUACACAGAAAACUGAAAAUUACUGAGGACCGAACUAUAUAAGGAUCAA